CCCCAUUUGUCCGUGUCCAACGAUAUUGUGUUGACUGAAAUUUUGGGUAGCAUAGCUGAGAUCUAUAUAACUCAUUCUUGUAACAAAUUUCUCCAACCUAGAAAUCCCUGUUUCUUGUUGGACCUCUAUCAUUGCAAAACCAUCCUCAAGCUCAUCCUCUCUUUUCUUGUUCUUCCUCCUUAUCAUCAGUAUGAUAAUUUCCGCUGCGGUGAUCCUCCUUUUCUUCUUCUCCCCCACACGCACCCAAGGAACGCAACAAGCCAGUACAACCAUCACUGAAGCCGCAGAAAGAGUAUAACCAAUCACUUUCCAGUUGAUUUUCCUUGGCUUUGUGCAUUCUUCCAAAGGCCCUCCACAGAGUCCCAUGUUAUUAGCAUAGCUUUCAGCUGGGAUACUGCCCUUCGCAAAGUUUGGCACUUGCCCUGAUAAUCGAUUGUUUGCAACACUGAAGGUCUUAAUCCGACCAAGAUAGCCAAUUUGUUGUGGGAUACGGCCAGUUAAUUGGUUGUUCUCAAGAUUGAGAUCAUUUAGAUAAGAGCAAUCUGCAAUACUUGAUGGGAUUUCACCAGAAAAUUUGUUGAAGGAUAGAUCUAGUCUUGUUACAUAUGGCAUCCUUUUCCCGAUGUCUAAUGGAAUCGGUCCAUGGAACUCAUUACCUGAAAGGUCCAAGCCUGUUAAACUGGUACAGUUCUCAAUCCCUCGAGGAAACCGGCCCUUCAGCUUCAUUUUAGGUAGUGAGAGGCUGAAGACUUUAUUCUCGUUAGGAUGCCAGCACUGAACUCCUGUAAAGGAGCAUAUGAAGCCAUCUGAAUCGUUAUUGAAGUUCCAGGAAGAUCUUAACAAAUUGUCAGGGUCUUCCACAGAAUCUUCAAUCCAUUUUAAGCAAUAAAUAUCAGUGGAAUGUGAACUAGCUGUAGAAGUACGCAGAAAUGCCCAUAUAUAAGCGUAGAAAGAAAUCGAAAUAAA
rnacentral:misc_RNA from 1 species